rnacentral:rRNA from 1 species
UACAGAGGGUGCGAGCGUAAUCGGAAUUACUGGGCGUAAAGCGUGCGUAGACGGUUUCGUAAGUCGGGUGUGAAAUCCCCGGGCUCAACCUGGGAAUUGCAUUCGAAACUGCGAGGCUAGGGUACGGAAGAGGGAAGCGGAAUUUCUGGUGUAGCGGUGAAAUGCGUAGAUAUCUGGAGGAACACCGGUGGCGAAGGCGGGUCUCUGGGCAGUAACUGACGCUGAGGAGCGAAAGCGUGGGGAGCGAACAGG